UACAGAGGUCCCAAGCGUUGUUCGGAUUCACUGGGCGUAAAGGGUGCGUAGGUGGUCGGGUAAGUCCGAUGUGAAAUCUCCGAGCUCAACUCGGAAACUGCACCGGAUACUAUUCGGCUGGAGGGUUGGAGGGGGGACUGGAAUGCUUGGUGUAGCAGUGAAAUGCGUAGAUAUCAGGAGGAACACCGGCGGUGUAGACGGCUUGCUAGACCAUAACUGACGCUGAGGCACGAAAGCGUGGGUAGCAAACAGG
rnacentral:rRNA from 1 species